UACGUAGGGUGCAAGCGUUGUCCGGAUUUAUUGGGCGUAAAGAGCGUGUAGGCGGCUUUGCAGGUCCGCUGUGAAAACUCGAGGCUCAACCUCGAGCUGUCGGUGGAAACCGUAAAGCUAGAGUCCGGAAGAGGAGAGUGGAAUUCCCGGUGUAGCGGUGAAAUGCGCAGAUAUCGGGAAGAACACCCGUGGCGAAGGCGGCUCUCUGGGACGGUACUGACGCUGAGACGCGAAAGCGUGGGGAGCGAACAGG
rnacentral:rRNA from 1 species